rnacentral:ncRNA from 1 species
GACGACGAAGGGCGUAGUAAGCGACGAAAUGCUUCGGGGAGUUGAAAAUAAGCGUAGAUCCGGGGAUUCCCGAUAUAGGUUAACCUUUCGAACUGCUGCUGAAUCCAUGGGCAGGCAAGAGACAACCUGGUGAACUGAAACAUCUUAGUAGCCAGAGGAAAAGAAAGCAAAAGCGAUUCCCGUAGUAGCGGCGAGCGAAAUGGGAGCAGCCUAAACCGUGAAAACGGGGUUGUGGGAGAGCUAUACAAGUGUCGUGCUGCUAGGCGAAGCAGUGGAGUACUGCAUUUCUUCUCCUUCUUGUCAUUCUUGUGUGGCCGAAUAGUUUUGGGUUCAUAUUUUUUUCCUUGUGAACCUUCCUUGAACAUUUUAGGUUUCCAUUGCUAGGUGAUAUCC